rnacentral:lncRNA from 1 species
ACAGUAUGUGGGAAUUAUGGGAGCUAUAAUUCAAGAUGAGAUUUGGGUGGGACACAGCCAAACCAUAUCACUAGGUAAGAAGAGGGCUCCAUGCUAAGGAACAGGAUAUGCAAAGACCCUGUGGCAGGAGGAACUCUACCUGCUUUUUUGAAGAAUUCCAUAAGGUAGCCUUCAGUGGAGCUGAGUAGAGAGUGGGGGAGAGUGGGCUAAAACAUGAGGGGAGAAGUAGGCAAAAGCUAAAUCUCAUCAGGACCUUAUAGACAAUUGACAGAUGUUUGUCUUUAUCCAGUAAGGUGUUUGUAUGCUCCUUAAGUGGCAGCGGGGAGUGAGCAGAGCAGUGAAGAUAAACAUGAAAGCUGGUGGUAACAAAUUCUGAUACCUCCUCUAUUCCAAAAGGAAAGGCAGAACUCAGAGGCACCAUCCUCCUGUUGUGUUUGCAAGCUGUUGACACAACCUGGAAAGGUUAAAAGUUUUCAACAGACUUGUCAGAGUUUGUGUUCAAUGGAAACUGACAGAGCCUACCGGCUGAGGGGCUAAUUUUAAUAGAAAUAACCUAGGUGCGUUUGUUAAUUUUCUCCGUUCCCUCAAUGACCUGUCUGCAUAGCGUGAAGGUGCUUUGAUGUGACCAGGAGAACAGAAGGAUAUUUUGUGCAUAGCUGACCGUGAGAGGAAUGCUGGUUUUGCAAUGAGGAAGCACAGGAAGAUGACAGAACAAUGAGCAUAAGACAUGCUGGGUGCAUUUUUUGGACCUUACCACAUCUUGUUUGAGAGAAGUGGGACCAAUGCUGAUGAAACUCUUUCCCAUGGUGUGUUCUAUAUUCAUUGGAUGGGCAUCGCCUACGGCUGGAGCAGGGCUGAGCUCUGUACUGGUGUCUCUUAAAACACACCAGACAGCAACAGCUGAGAUACCUACUACCUGGAUCUGCUUGAUUAGAUCAUACGGUCAUAUUUGAUUACUUAGAAUGGGCUUCUGGAGGAUCUGUUGCUGAUUGCACUGAAACCAGAAGUUGUACUUGGCCAAGGACGAGCUAACCCCAAACAGCAAGAGGUUUGAGUUGGCUCCAAAGCACAAGCCUCACAAAUAUCCCGUGAGUCUCCCACAGGCUUGGGGCUCUCUGUUUAGAAUUAGAACCUAAUCUUCAAAUAUCCCUUUACCCUCUUGCCUCAAAAAGGAAGGCAGUGAAGAGCAGCAGCAAGGCAUCCUGGAUGAGCACUGGAAGGGGAGAAUGCUCAUGUUUUAGUCGUGGGCUUUCCACCAGUUAGCUGUGCAGCUUUGGGCAGAUACUUGAACUUCUCUGGUGCUCUGUUUCUUCAUGUUUAAAUGAGAGGAUUAAACUGUAUGACUUUUGGGUCGAAAGUACGUCUCUGCCAUCAGUAUCAUAACAAUUAUUGAAAUUGCUGCCUAGAAUCUUCCGCUACCACAGUGUAUUUUGAUUGGACUGUUUAUUGCCUUAGCAAACACAAUGCAGUGCUGUGUCUUUGGCAUCUUGCCAGGAAAGAUGAGCCAAUUUUCUCGUGUUGCUUCUGGAUGUCAAAACAUUCUCAUCUGACCAUGCCACAGAAGAAGUUUGUUGAGAGUGUGACUGACUGACAUAAUGACUGAUUGGCUGAUAACGGCAGCUGACAGUGAUUGAUUGAGUGUAAAAUUAUCUGUUCUCAUUACUUCUGAAAUUGAAUUCAGAUUGGUUCUAUUGGAGGGUUUCCAUGGAGACCAUAACCUGCUAUAGCAAGUGUUUGUGGAUGCAAUGUUUUAUUGUGAUCAAUACCUGUUUCCUCUGCUGGUCCAAAGAAAUUAUUAAUGAUUAUAGUCAAGUAGAAAGAGGCAACCAUAUAUAAGAAGAAAAAAACUCUCAUAUUUUGUCUCAUUGCUACAUAAAACAAAUGUGGGCCUUCCCAGACUUGCGCUUUGGCUAACUAGUUCAUAAUACGUUCGAUAACUUGCCAUUCUUCUUUUGCUAUUAAUGCAGAGGGUUUGCUUUGGAAAAAAGAAAAGUAUUUCUAGGACUCUUUCUCUCUUUGAAGAAGAUCAGAAUAAUAGACGAAUGUUCAUACUUGGUUUUUUUUUAAAUGCGAUGUUACAGAAACAACAAACAUUUAAUCAAAUCUUAAACACACCCAUGUUAAUGCAGAGACAGAGAUGGUCCCUCAGGCUUUUUCUGGGUUGUUUCCAUGAAUGAUAAAGUCAUUAAACAAUUUCAUAGGCUUGCCUUAUUGAUCUCUCACAAUGGCAUGCUAUGUCUGCUCUUCAGGAAAGCCUUUCCUGACUGCCCCCAUCAGAGUUAAUUACUACUUACUCUGUGUUCGCAUGGCCUUCUUCCAUCUUCUAUUAUAGCAUUCAUCUCAGGCCACCUUGCCUUACAAUUACUUGUAUCUCUUUUUCCCACUAGAUUAUGACCUCCUUGAGGACAGGGUGAUUUUCUUGUUGCUCUUUGUAUUAUCCUCAGCAUCUAGGUGAAUCUCUGAUACAUCACAAGGGUUCAAUAAAUGCUCAUUGAAUUGAAUUAACUGGAUCUGCAUUCCAAGGUCAUCUCUUCCUAGACUGGUGUUGAAUGGGAUUCCCAUGAAGUGAGGCAGCAGAGUGCGUGCUUGCUGGUUCUGUUGCUUUGUCUCCUGCCCUGUGGCUGCGUCUGUGCCCAAGAGGAUUGUUAGGAUAUAUUGUGCUACAGGAGAUUGAUAUUGUAUAGGAUGUCUGUACAGCUUAUAGACUGGUGCUGACCGUACUGAAAUGAUGGUGGGAGGAUACCUAAUAAGGAUUCUAUUUUAUGCUUAGCUGUAUUCAUUCAUUGGUUUGGUUGGAAUCUGCUUCAGCGUACUUCCUCUACCCAAAUUUGGCUCAUUAGCUGAAAUCACUUUGGGAUGAAUCCACUGUUAAUAGUGGCUAACAUUUUUCAUGCACUUACGACAUGUCUGGCACAGUACUAAGUACUUUACAUAUUUUUCAAUUCUUACACAUUGCUCCCAUUAUCCCAUUUUGAAGAUAAGGAGACUGAAGCACAGAGUGUUUAUUUCCUAAGGUCACACAGCUAGGAAGUAGAGGAGCUAGGAUUUGAAUUCCUAUAGUCUAGCUUCCUACCCCAUUCUUAAGCUAUCUACCCUGUUGCCGCCUGACAAAAGUGUGUUUCAAAAUUUAAUUCCUGAACUGACUGCAUCAAAAUCCCCUGUAGUGUUUGUUAAAAGUGAAGAUACCCCAAGACCUACUGAUUCAGGUUGUUUUCACCGAGGCCAGCAAAUCUGCACCAACAUGUUUUAUUCUGUUCUGUACCUCAAGCUUUGAUGCUGCUUUGUUUUCUUGUUUUGGGAGAAGGGCAGGGGUGGGGGUGGAGGCAAGCGAGUCCAAUACUACAACUUUAGAAAUCUCUGCUCUAGGGUGAACACUCUCUUUGAGACUUCUAAAUUAAAGUCAAGUCUUUUGGAUUUUUGUUUCUUUGUACUGCCUAACUUUAGAAAGACCUGGAAGCGGUAACAUGAAAACAUUUUUAGAGAGAAUUACCAGGCAUUUUUGGUAGAAUGAGUGUUUAAUGGAACAGUCCAGAGAACUCAUCAAAGAUGUUUAUUAAAACGCGCAGACCUGCUCCAAUUAAGGGCCCAGUCAGUGGUGUUAACAGUGAAGGGACUGUUCCAGAGGCGUGCUGCACGGGACGCCCACCCCAAAUACAAAUGGUUUGCCAGUAGCUCACAAAUGAACCCCAUUGCCUUGCACUUAAGCUUCCUGAAGCACAUACAUAUCCUGCUUUGUGCUUUCCGCCCUAUAGUAAACGCAAACCAAUGGAGAUGUGAAGCAAUCUAAUAGCAACAAGGCAAACCUCUACUUCCUCUAAAGAGGAUUGCAUCCUCUUGCUAUCUUUGCCGAUGCUCUCCUACAGACCCAUCCCUGUCAUGUCUUUCCUGUCUUUCUAGUAGAAUUCUGGCUGCUCCCGUAGGACCUCCUUGCGGGAAUUUUCCCUGGUUGCUGCCUCCAAGGAGAGGCUCCCCACCAGAAAGUUUUAAGAGGCUUAUGCUUCUGGGGUUAAUGCGGUCCUUUCUGUCACCUUGUUUUCUGUUCCUAGUUAUCUUUCGGUAACUUUUUUCCUAAACUACUCUGAAAGGCAUAGACUGUCUCUUGAAAGCUCAUCUGUUCUUAACCCCUUUCCCUCAUUCCACUGACUGCAGCAUCUUCCACAUACCAUUCCCUCUUAGCAUUUAUGUCCAUGUCAUGCUUUUGUUGGUUUAUUUGUGUAUUUUCUGCUUCCCACCAUUAGAUCAUUUGUAGAAUUAAUGAAUGCCUAUGGGUUAAUAGAUUUUUCGCUGUAUCCUCUUUUCUCUGUAUCUCUCUGCCCAGUUGCUUAGAAAUGCUUCUGUUUGUGUAUUUGUAUCCACCUUCUUUGGGGAGAGUUAUGACCCUGGUCCUUAUGCCAUCAGUGGUAUUGCAAUUUUGUAUGUAGCAUGACCAUUUUUAAAAAUGACAUUUCAUAGUGAGUGAUUCAGACACCUAUCAUUCAGCUUACCUGCCGGGGCCCUCCAAAAUGAGCAGAAGGCCUCUGUCUCAUUCUAGAAGCUUGAAGGUCUCCACGUGGUUUGCCCAGGGGCCCACAACCUCCCUGCAGUCCAGGAGUGCUCCCAUUAACCCCAGCUGUGUGAUUCAGACCAGAUUCUUAGGACUUUUUAAGUGAAAUGGGACAGAAAAUUGCUUGAUGUAUUUUGCCACAUGAAGUACAUUUUGCUGCCGCUUAGUUCUUUAUUGUCGUUAGAUUAAAAACUCUCCUAACGUUGUGUGGGUAAGUAAAAAUCUUUUUAUUUUUAUCUGGUAUGUUUUGAAAAAAAGGAAAAAAGAAACUAGACAUUGUCAAAAUAUUUGCUUAAUCUUGCAGAUUUGGGAAGUUGUAUAGCCACUCGCUCUGACAGACCAGAACAAUGGUCAUUAAAUGAGAAGCAGAUGUAAUAAAGUAUGCAGUAAAAGCCUUCUAUUAUGGGCUGGAAGGGGAAAAAAAUGAGUUGUUAACAGAACACAGUAAGCAUUAUGGAAUAAAUCAGAACAAAACCAUUCCCAAUUACUGUACAAAGAUAAUUAAAGUCUACAAUGCUAAUUAAGGUCUGUUUAUAUCUAUUUCUGUUUGUGUACAAACAUAUGCGCAUAGUUAAAUAUUUUCCAUUGUUUUUUAUGUGAUGCUAACUUCAUAGUUGAAUUUUUCUGAAUUUAACUUUUGUUUUUAUGUUACCAGGAAGUACAAUCUCCAGAAAACUGAAACUCCAGCUUUUCCUCCUUGAUCGUAGCUUAUUUUUCUUGGCUAACUUCAGAAAAUUCUUCAAUCACAAAGACUGUCUGAGUCGCAUUUUCAUCUCUAGAAACUGGAAGAAGUUCUAAGAGUGUGAGGUAAUGACUCAAGGACAACAGCUCCCAGAAAAUAACAGGGUUUGCCCUGCUGCUUUGGAGGAGGUUCUCCUGAAUCAUGUCACUGAAGCACAGCUAGGGCCCGGGACCUGGGACCACAGCCCUUGAAGGGAAUGAGCGGCUGUCUGGGGGCUGAAAGUUCUCUCAGGAGAGGCGUUUUCACAAGGCUUUGUGAUACCGAGCCUCAGGCGUGGACAGAGACGUGUUUUAGGAUUUGAGAAGCCUGUGGAGAAAUUAAGUCAUGUCCCAGUGUACAGUGCUAUGCCAUAAGAAUGGCUAGAACUUUCAGGGGCAUCCUGGAGCUUGACCCUGGCUCAUCAUUUUAUACAUGAAGGGGCUUUGGGUCACGGAGGCAUGGGUUUGCGUCCUGUCUGUUUGAUUCAUUAGAUAUGUGAUCUGGGCCUAAAACUUCGGAGAUCUUAAACACCGAAAACCUUGGGGCACUUUUGCCUUGCUCCCAACCAUGAAAUACAAAAACCAAAGCAAAACAAACAAAAAGUAAGCCAGAAGAUAUAAAAUUGCUUAUAGGUCUGUUGUCUAACAUCAAGUGCGGAAAGGGGUCUAACAAAUUUCCAGCUGGGUGCGGUGGCUCACACCUUUAAUCCCAGCACUUUGGGAGGCUGAGGCAGGCAGAUUGCUUGAGCUCAA